rnacentral:rRNA from 1 species
UUUAUUUGAUAGUACCUUACUACUUGGAUAACCGUGGUAAUUCUAGAGCUAAUACAUGCUAAAAACCCCGACUUCGGGAGGGGUGUAUUUAUUAGAUAAAAAACCAAUGCCCUUCGGGGCUCCUUGGUGAUUCAUAAUAACUUCUCAGAUCGCAUGGCCUUGCGCCGGCGACGGUUCAUUCAAAUUUCUGCCCUAUCAACUUUCGAUGGUAAGGUAUUGGCUUACCAUGGUUUCAACGGGUAACGGGGAAUUAGGGUUCGAUUCCGGAGAGGGAGCCUGAGAAACGGCUACCACAUCCAAGGAAGGCAGCAGGCGCGCAAAUUACCCAAUCCCGACACGGGGAGGUAGUGACAAUAAAUACUGAUACAGGGCUCUUUAGGGUCUUGUAAUUGGAAUGAGUACAAUUUAAACCUCUUAACGAGGAACAAUUGGAGGGCAAGUCUGGUGCCAGCAGCCGCGGUAAUUCCAGCUCCAAUAGCGUAUAUUAAAGUUGUUGCAGUUAAAAAGCUCGUAGUUGAACCUUUGGCCUGGCUGGCGGGUCCGCCUCACCGCGUGCACUCGUCCGGCCGGGCCUUUUCUUCUGGAGAACCGCAUGCCCUUCACUGGGUGUGUUGGGGACCAGGACUUUUACUUUGAAAAAAUUAGAGUGUUCAAAGCAGGCCUUUGCUCGAAUACGUUAGCAUGGAAUAAUAGAAUAGGACGUGCGGUCCUAUUUUGUUGGUUUCUAGGACCGCCGUAAUGAUUAAUAGGGACAGUCGGGGGCAUCAGUAUUCAWUUGUCAGAGGUGAAAUUCUUGGAUUUAUUGAAGACUAACUACUGCGAAAGCAUUUGCCAAGGAUGUUUUCAUUAAUCAGUGAACGAAAGUUAGGGGAUCGAAGACGAUCAGAUACCGUCGUAGUCUUAACCAUAAACUAUGCCGACUAGGGAUCGGGCGGUGUUAUUAUUUUGACUCGCUCGGCACCUUACGAGAAAUCAAAGUGUUUGGGUUCUGGGGGGAGUAUG